AGAACCCUGGUUCAGCACAAAGUGCUCUGAGUGGUGGAGCCUCUGUGGUGAUACACAGCAGGUUGAAGGUGAAGGUCUUUGCUGAGGCUUUUCCUCUCCUCUGAGAGUCACCAAGUUCCUUCAGAAGCCACAGAACCAGGAAUUUCUGAUGUGGAAAGCUUUGGUUUCUUCUGCGACAAUAGUGAGAAGAAAUAGGAAGAUUUGACAACUGCAGGGGAGUUUCAGAAUUGGUUUUCAGCUGGAGUUGAGUGUCUCUGGAGUAAAUCCAAGGUAAACUGAUCAACUGAAUGAGGAGACAGAGUAUAGAGAAACAUUUACAGGCAAAAAACCUUGGAGGAUCACAUUGCUUCUCCAGUUGCUGGACACUUCCAAGUGGAAGGAGUGCAAAAUCCAAUUUUUCCCAUGCCAAUCUCAACCAUGCUCAACUUAUGCCUACAGAAGAAACUGAGCACAUUUUUGGGGUGGAUGUAAUAUGUCCCCAGCUGGCACAGCCAUAGUGGGACUGCCAUUAGCUUCUGCACUGAUGGACAUAUCAAGGGCACUGUGAGCCAUGUUCAGUCCAGAAUUGGAGUGGAUGUGAAGCUGAGGUGAAAGGGAUGAUAGAAAACUGCUCAGAAGUCAAGAGGAAUUUUGUAUUGUGUGAGCUUGAUUUGAUAAAAAAGCCCCCAGAUUUUAUUCUUCAUUCAAAAACAGGCUCUUUCCUGAAUAGAAAUCUAUCUAUUUGAAGUCUAAGUGACUUUGAGAUUAAACAACAAAUUAGGUUUCUGGAUUUUCAAAUUCUAUUUUAAUUGAAUGUUCUAGCCAUGCAGAAUGUAAAGAAACUGAAAAUGUCUGAUGCCAAAUGGCACACUUAUUAUUUGAAAUUUGAUGACUAAUUUGUCCUUAAUUUUAUCAAAUUAUACUAAGAGGUCUUUCUUUUACAAAACAUUACAAAGCAAUACUGAGGCCAGAGAGGUGCUAGAGAAAUCUUUUUUGUCAUUUGGAGCACUGUACAGAAUUGCGUGGGUUUAAACAAAAUGUAUCUUGAUGUUUUACCUUAAAACUCUCUGUCCUUUUUCUCAGUUCAGCUGAAUCCUAUGAAAUAGAUACGCAGCUUGGAGUUCUUCACACCCCCACAAAUGCUAAAAAUGGCCCUGAUACAACAUGUAUUUAUGUAACAAAAUCAUCUGCAUUAAUAUCUUCCUUUCCUUUCGGUGAGAAGAACAGGGGGGACUCAAGCUGACACAUUUCAGUGCAGCCCCUUCCGUUCUUCUCAUUGCAUUUGGGGCAGCAGGGACAAGCACUGCUCUCCCUUCAAAACCAGGGUUGUGAAUGAACAGGAACAUGACAUGAGUAUCAGUAGUGAGUUUGAGGGAAGAUUGUGGUCCAAGCUUUCAGAUUCUCUGCCCCUGAAUAUUCGGUUUCCUGUUACAAAUCAAAAUCACUGGCAACGAGGUUUCUGGCCAUUCUCGUGCUGAUGUGCCAAAAU